UCUCAUUUCGUCGUGUAAAAGGCCAG
rnacentral:piRNA from 1 species